rnacentral:rRNA from 1 species
UAACCUGCCCAAGAGAUCGGGAUAACACCUGGAAACAGAUGCUAAUACCGGAUAANAACAGAUGAUGCCUAUCAACUGUUUAAAAGAUGGUUCUGCUAUCACUCUUGGAUGGACCUGCGGUGCAUUAGCUAGUUGGUAGGGUAACGGCCUACCAAGGCGAUGAUGCAUAGCCGAGUUGAGAGACUGAUCGGCCACAUUGGGACUGAGACACGGCCCAAACUCCUACGGGAGGCAGCAGCC